rnacentral:rRNA from 1 species
GACGCUGAGGCUCGAAAGCGUGGGGAGCAAACAGGAUUAGAUACCCUGGUAGUCCACGCUGUAAACGAUGAUUACUAGGUGUGGGGGGAUUGACCCCUUCCGUGCCGCAGUUAACACAAUAAGUAAUCCACCUGGGGAGUACGACCGCAAGGUUGAAACUCAAAGGAAUUGACGGGGGCCCGCACAAGCAGUGGAGUAUGUGGAUUAAUUCGAAGCAACGCGAAGAACCUUACCGGGUCUUGACAUCGAGUGACCGCUCUAGAGAUAGAGCUUUCUCUUCGGAGACACGAAGACAGGUGGUGCAUGGUUGUCGUCAGCUCGUGUCGUGAGAUGUUGGGUUAAGUCCCGCAACGAGCGCAACCCUUAUGAUUAGUUGCUACGCAAGAGCACUCUAAUCAGACUGCCGUUGACAAAACGGAGGAAGGUGGGGAUGACGUCAAAUCAUCAUGCCCUUUAUGACCCGGGCCUCACACGUACUACAAUGGCGUUUAACAAAGAGAAGCAAAGCCGCGAGGCGGAGCAAAUCUCGAAAAAACGUCUCAGUUCAGAUUGCAGGCUGCAACUCGCCUGCAUGAAGUCGGAAUGCUAGUAAUCGCGGAU